rnacentral:lncRNA from 1 species
UUUCAAAGGACAAAGUUAGCCUGAGAAGGCCAGUUUCUCUCAUAGCAAUGGACAGAAAGGAGCCUCCUCACACAGGUGGUACUGGUGGGUGCUCAAUGACCCAGGGAAGAACUGCUGACUGCAGACAGAAAACUGGAGAUAUGCUUUAAGCAGGGAGAGCACUGACUAGGCAGAGCGUCACUCAGGUCCUACAAGUUAGGGAAAUUCUGGAGUACACUCAAUCUGUGCCAGAGGCCAAUUCUACCCUUGGGCUGUAACUAGAUUUCUGGGGGAAAUGAAAAGCUUUUCAUAUUUCCUCCUGAUGCUUUGUGGCUGGCUGAAGCACAUCUAGGGAUCUGACCUUACCAGUUUAUCAGGAUUUUCUGAUACUGAGGUAAUAUUUGUGUCUCUCACUGCAAAAUAUAAUAUAAUAUAAUAUAAUAUAAUAUAAUAUAAUAUAAUAUAAUAUAAUAUAAUAUAAUAUAAUAUAAUAUAAUAAAAUAACAAUAAUAAUAAUAAAUCUUUUGGGAUUAGGUGAAUGUAGUUCACAGAAAUGACCAUGAUAUCUGUUCUUCAUUCAGAAGAAACACUAGAAGCAAUCAAAUGCCUUUAAGAAACAGGAGAAAUGAAAACACAGGAGCCAUCAAUGAGUACAGUGUGGCAGAUCUUUGAAGACCAGAACAUAGUUUAUGCAUGCACAGAUUGCACGGAUCCAGAAACAGUAUGCUCAUAUGAAUGGAAAAUUGUAAGCAAG